UGGGGGAUAUUGCACAAUGGGCGAAAGCCUGAUGCAGCGACGCCGCGUGGGGGAUGAAGGCUUUCGGGUUGUAAACCUCUUUCGCUAUCGAACAAGGCCCGCUUAGGGUGGGUUGAGGGUAGGUGGAGAAGAAGCGCCGGCUAACUACGUGCCAGCAGCCGCGGUAAUACGUAGGGCGCGAGCGUUGUCCGGAAUUAUUGGGCGUAAAGGGCUUGUAGGCGGCUUGUUGCGCCUGCUGUGAAAACGCGGGGCUUAACUUCGCGCGUGCAGUGGGUACGGGCAGGCUUGGGUGUGGUAGUGGUGACUGGAAUUCCAGGUGUAGCGGUGGAAUGCGCAGAUAUCUGGAGGAACACCGAUGGCGAAGGCAGGUCACUGGGCCAUUACUGACGCUGAGGAGCGAAAGCAUGGGUAGCGAACAGG
rnacentral:rRNA from 1 species